ACGCUGGCGGCAGGCUUAACACAUGCAAGUCGAACGGUAACAGGGAUUAGCUUGCUAAUCUGCUGACGAGUGGCGGACGGGUGAGUAAUGCUUGGGAAUCUGGCUUAUGGAGGGGGAUAACUACGGGAAACUGUAGCUAAUACCGCGUAAAAUCUUCGGAUUAAAGGGUGGGACUUUCGAGCCACCUGCCAUAAGAUGAGCCCAAGUGGGAUUAGGUAGUUGGUUAGGUAAAGGCUGACCAAGCCGACGAUCUCUAGCUGGUCUGAGAGGAUGACCAGCCACACUGGAACUGAGACACGGUCCAGACUCCUACGGGAGGCAGCAGUGGGGAAUAUUGCACAAUGGGGGGAACCCUGAUGCAGCCAUGCCGCGUGAAUGAAGAAGGCCUUCGGGUUGUAAAGUUCUUUCGGUGACGAGGAAGGUUGAUAGGUUAAUAGCCUAUCAAAUUGACGUUAAUCACAGAAGAAGCACCGGCUAACUCCGUGCCAGCAGCCGCGGUAAUACGGGGGGUGCGAGCGUUAAUCGGAAUAACUGGGCGUAAAGGGCACGCAGGCGGUGACUUAAGUGAGAUGUGAAAGCCCCGAGCUUAACUUGGGAAUUGCAUUUCAUACUGGGUCGCUAGAGUACUUUAGGGAGGGGUAGAAUUCCACGUGUAGCGGUGAAAUGCGUAGAGAUGUGGAGGAAUACCGAAGGCGAAGGCAGCCCCUUGGGAAUGUACUGACGCUCAUGUGCGAAAGCGUGGGGAGCAAACAGGAUUAGAUACCCUGGUAGUCCACGCUGUAAACGAUGUCGAUUUGGGGAUUGGGCUUUGAGCUUGGUGCCCGUAGCUAACGUGAUAAAUCGACCGCCUGGGGAGUACGGCCGCAAGGUUAAAACUCAAAUGAAUUGACGGGGGCCCGCACAAGCGGUG
rnacentral:rRNA from 1 species